rnacentral:rRNA from 1 species
AUUGAACGCUGGCGGCAGGCCUAACACAUGCAAGUCGAGCGCGAAAGUCUUCGGAUGAGUAAAGCGGCGGACGGGUGAGUAAUGCAUGGGAAUCUGCCUGGUGGUGGGGGACAACGUUUCGAAAGAGACGCUAAUACCGCAUACGCCCUACGGGGGAAAGGGGGGGAUCUUCGGACCUCUCGCUAUCAGAUGAGCCCAUGUCAGAUUAGCUAGUUGGUAGGGUAAAGGCCUACCAAGGCGACGAUCUGUAACUGGUCUGAGAGGAUGAUCAGUCACACUGGGACUGAGACACGGUCCAGACUCCUACGGGGGGCAGCAGUGAGGAAUAUUGGACAAUGGGGGCAACCCUGAUCCAGCCAUGCCGCGUGUGUGAAGAAGGCCCUAGGGUUGUAAAGCACUUUCAGUGGGGAGAAAGGUUGUUCAGUUAAUACCUGAAUGAAUUGAUGUUACCCACAGAAGAAGCACCGGCUAACUCCGUGCCAGCAGCCGCCGUAA